AUUGAACGCUGGCGGCAUGCUUUACACAUGCAAGUCGGACGGCAGCACAGAGAAGCUUGCUUCUUGGGUGGCGAGUGGCGAACGGGUGAGUAAUAUAUCGGAACGUACCGAGUAAUGGGGGAUAACUAAUCGAAAGAUUAGCUAAUACCGCAUAUUCUCUGAGGAGGAAAGCAGGGGACCUUCGGGCCUUGCGUUAUUCGAGCGGCCGAUAUCUGAUUAGCUAGUUGGUGGGGUAAAGGCCUACCAAGGCGACGAUCAGUAGCGGGUCUGAGAGGAUGAUCCGCCACACUGGGACUGAGACACGGCCCAGACUCCUACGGGAGGCAGCAGUGGGGAAUUUUGGACAAUGGGCGCAAGCCUGAUCCAGCCAUGCCGCGUGUAUGAAGAAGGCCUUCGGGUUGUAAAGGACUUUUGUCAGGGAAGAAAAGGCUGUUGCUAAUAUCGACAGCUGAUGACGGUACCUGAAGAAUAAGCACCGGCUAACUACGUG
rnacentral:rRNA from 1 species